AAAGGAAAGAGCUGAGCACCGGGAGAGGCAGCCCGCGCCCCGCCAAUGCCGCAUGGCUGCUUCCAUCCUAGGCUGAGAAAAUCUAUUUCUGGGAGUCUCUGACUUUAGGAGAAGGCACAACAAGGAUGUGUGGCAAGUAAACAGCUCCUUUCACCCAGUGCCUUGGAUGCAGACAAGGGGAGGAGUCGCAUGUGCCAGCCGGUCCCAGCCCAGUCCCUCCAGAGGGUGCUGGUGAAUGUCCUGAUGAUGCUCCAGCACUGAGGACAAUUUUCCAGGUAACUGUUUCUAAAUGCAGCUUGCAAGCGUCCCAUCCGCGUCAGAACGCAGGCAGAGGACAGAUUGGUGGGAGCGCAUGUUAGUUGAGCAAGGGCAUGGACACAAUGGCAGUAAGUGGAGGCUAUGAAGGGGGCAUGUGGAAGGGGGACAGUGGCAGGGUCAGGGAAUGUAUGGUAAGGAGCCAUUGUGUUAACCUGCUUAAAUAAAAUCACCCCCUGCCACUUCGCACCUGUUGCUUUUGAAAACACAAAAUGAGCGAUUUCUACUCCCCUGUCCAGCCUGCCAAUCCCCCACCUCACUCAGAACCCCUGCAUGAUACGGGGGGCUGGCUAGCUCAGAGGGACAGAGACUGGGGUAUAGGGUUGCUCCCUUCUAGGGGGCACCAGCUCCAA